CCUACGGGAGGCUGCAGUGAGGAAUAUUGGUCAAUGGGCGCGAGCCUGAACCAGCCAAGUCGCGUGAGGGAAGACGGUCCUAUGGAUUGUAAACCUCUUUUGUCGGGGAGCAAAAGACGCCACGCGUGGCGUUCCGAGAGUACCCGAAGACAAAGCAUCGGCAAACUCCGUGCCAGCAGCCGCGGUAAUAUGGAGGUUGCGUGCGUUAUCCGGGUUUAUUGGGUUAAAGGGGUGCGCAGGCGGAAGAUCAGGUCAGCGGUAAAAUUGAGAGGCUCAACCUCUUCGAGCCGUUGAACCUGGUUUGCUGGAGUGAGUGAGAGGUAGGCGGAAUGCGUGGUGUAGCGGUGAAAUGCAUAGAUAUCACGCAGAACUCCGGUGGCGAAGGCAGCAUACCGGCGCUCAACUGACGCUCAUGCACGAAAGUGUGGGUAUCGAACAGGAUUAGAUACCCCGGUAGUC
rnacentral:rRNA from 1 species